rnacentral:rRNA from 1 species
UAGAGUUUGAUCAUGGCUCAGGACGAACGCUGGCGGCGUGCUUAACACAUGCAAGUCGAGCGGUAAGGCCUUUCGGGGUACACGAGCGGCGAACGGGUGAGUAACACGUGGGUGAUCUGCCCUGCACUUCGGGAUAAGCCUGGGAAACUGGGUCUAAUACCGGAUAUGACCUCCUAUCGCAUGGUGGGUGGUGGAAAGAUUUAUCGGUGCAGGAUGGGCCCGCGGCCUAUCAGCUUGUUGGUGGGGUAAUGGCCUACCAAGGCGACGACGGGUAGCCGACCUGAGAGGGUGACCGGCCACACUGGGACUGAGACACGGCCCAGACUCCUACGGGAGGCAGCAGUGGGGAAUAUUGCACAAUGGGCGAAAGCCUGAUGCAGCGACGCCGCGUGAGGGAUGACGGCCUUCGGGUUGUAAACCUCUUUCAGCAGGGACGAAGCGCAAGUGACGGUACCUGCAGAAGAAGCACCGGCUAACUACGUGCCAGCAGCCGCGGUAAUACGUAGGGUGCAAGCGUUGUCCGGAAUUACUGGGCGUAAAGAGUUCGUAGGCGGUUUGUCGCGUCGUUUGUGAAAACCAGCAGCUCAACUGCUGGCUUGCAGGCGAUACGGGCAGACUUGAGUACUGCAGGGGAGACUGGAAUUCCUGGUGUAGCGGUGAAAUGCGCAGAUAUCAGGAGGAACACCGGUGGCGAAGGCGGGUCUCUGGGCAGUAACUGACGCUGAGGAACGAAAGCGUGGGUAGCGAACAGGAUUAGAUACCCUGGUAGUCCACGGCGUAAACGGUGGGCGCUAGGUGUGGGUUCCUUCCACGGAAUCC